rnacentral:misc_RNA from 1 species
GAUGAAGAACGUAGCGAAAUGCGAUAAGUAAUGCGAAUUGCAGAAUUCAGUGAGUCAUCGAAUCUUUGAACGCACAUUGCGCCCUGUGGUAUUCCGCAGGGCAUGCCUGUUCGAGCGUCAUUUCAACCCUCAAGCCCCGCUUGGUGUUGGGCCCCGCCCGCUGUGGCCGGCCCUAAAGACAGUGGCGGCGCCGCCUGGCCCUCAGCGUAGUACAUCUCUCGCUCCAGGGUCCGGUGGCCGCCUGCCAGAACCCCCCAACUCUGUGGUUGACCUCGGAUCAGGUAGGACUACCCGCUGAACUUAAGCAUAUCAAUAAGCGGAGGA